UGGCUUCUCUUCAGUCUCUUACCAAAUUCAGUGCACAUGCCAUGGUCAAGUGAUAUACAAUUUCAUGAUACUGGUUUGUAAUAAUCGUCCAAGGUUUGCAUCCUUCGUAGCUCAAUGCUUUCAAAGUCCAAACUUGCUUGUUGUUUUGUUUCUUUUUGGCUAAGCAAGCAAUUAAUAAAUUGGUUUAUAUAUGUGGAAAGUUGCAAUUCUGAUUUG
rnacentral:lncRNA from 1 species